AUUCUAGCCUGGAGCUUUAGAAGACGAAGUAAAAAAGAAGUCAGACAGUCCUAGCUUUGAAUCCUGGCCCAGCCACUUACUAGGUGGGAGACCUUGGGUAAGUCACUUAACCUCUCUGAGCUUCUGUUUCCUUCCUUGGGUGUAGAAUGGGGAUAAGAAGCCUGCAAGAGCAGAAUAAGGAUUCAAAGCUAUAUAGUAGGUGCUCACUAAAUAGUAGAUAUUUGUAUGAUUUGAAACUGUCCAUAAUUGUUCCUGUAGGCUUUAAGAAGAAAACACCCAGAAAUGAGUUGUAUCAUCUGAGUUUGUGAUGGAUGCAUAUUGGUAGGAAAUAAGUGAGACAAUAUUUCAGAAAUUGGCAUAAGGCCAUGGGAGGUCCAGCUCAGAGAUCACUUUGGACUGGUCUUGGCUUACAACCCACUGAAAACCAACUCACUGAGGUUCAUUUAUUGGGAGGUUGAUUAUAGUUAAUUAAUAAACUAGGAUUGAAAUAGGCCUAUUUUUAGUACUGCUAUUUUUUUUUUUUUUUUUGAGAUGGAGUCUCACUCCAUCACCCAGGCUGGAGUACAGUGGCACAAUCUUGGCUCACCACAACCUCUGCCUCCCAGGUACAAGCGAUUCUCCUGCCUCAGCCUCCCAAGUAGCUGGGACUACAGGUGUGUGCCACCACACCUGGCUAAUUUUGUAUUUUUAGUAGAGACUGGGUUUUACCAUGUUGGCCAGGCUGGUCUCAAACUCCUGACCUCAUGAUCCGCCUGCCUCGGCCUCCAAUUUUUUUUGAGACAGAGUCUUGCACUGUUGCCCAGGCUGGAGUGCAGUGGCACAAACAUGGCUCACUGCAGCCUCGACCUCCCCAGGCUCAAGCAAUCCUCUCACCUCAGCCUUCUGAGUAGCUGGGACCACAGGCAUGUACCAGCACAGCCGGCAUAUUUUUAAAUUUUUUGUAGAGAUGAGGUUUCGUCAUGUUGUCCAGGCUGGUCUCAAACUCCUGGGCUCAAGCAGUCCUCCCGCCUCGGCCUCCCAAAGUGCUGGAAUCCCAGGCAUGAGCCACUGUGCCCCGCCAAGUUUUGGCACCACCAGACUCCAGACUGCUGUCCAGAACUUGUGCUCUGCUCUGCAUUUUUUCCUAGCCUUGUCUGCCAUCAUAAUGUUCAUUUCCACAUUCCAUUUGCUCUCAGCUGACUGUAAAUAACGCCAAGAAGCAACCUGGCAUACAAACCCCUCCGAAGGGAUUAAUAACUGUUAAUAAUAAUACCAGAAAGCAAGCACUUUACAGAAUAUAUUAUUCCUAAUCCAUAUCAUAAUUCUACAUGAUAGUUUCCUUUUCUCUAUACUUUCAUACAGAUGAGGAAACUGAGGCUGAAACAGGCAAUUAAUUUGUGCAGGUGGCACGUUUACUACAUGGUGGAACCAGGAUCUGAACUCAAAUUUGUCUGUGAAUGUUUUCAGAAUAUUCACCUACAUGUUGCCCAAAGUCAAGGCUGCCCUGGGGCAGUGUGUAUACCUGAAUGACAAUCAGUACAGGCACUGAGGGAAGGGAGAACCGAUGCUGGAGAGGCAAGCAUAACUGCCACUGUUAACUUUGUGACCAAACUUCAUGUCUUGUGGCCUAAAGGACAAUCGUAUCCCUUCUGGGGGAAUUUCCCCACCUCCAUGUUGAAGCCAAGGAUGACUAGUACUCCAUGGAAAAGAGGUCAACAUGAUAACCAGGAGAUGUGGUCAUGGGGCAUUAAAAGGUUCGAAGCUGUUCCAGAAAGGAUGUCAUUGAUGUGGAAUACAGGAACUGUGGAUGCCUCCUGAAUGGGAGCUGCAAACGAUUAUCAGAGUCAAGCAAGAGGAAUGGCAAGGCAUGUGCUGAAUAACAUCACAUUAAUAUGGCUCUUAGCUACCUAACCCAUUAGGAGCCAUAAUUAGGAGAGUUUGAAACAGACUGCAAGCAUCUUCUCCAGAAAGAAGCUAGGAGCGAGUCCAGCGGAUUCGUGGAAAUGGAUGGAGGCUGCUGAGUUGAGAGACUGAGAAGUGGAGGUACCUAGGAAGGUCCUCCCUGAAAAUACAUCGGGUUGUAAAACCUGGAAAGAAAUACCUCCAUUUGUCAGGCACUCACAGGGCGCUCUCCUCUGGCAGCUCCCAUGUUGAGCGCCCAGGGCAGCGACCAGACGGCGUCCUGUCCUCCUGCACGGGGCCAGAACUGGAUGGUCCCGCGACACAUCGUGUCUGCAGCUUUAGAGGCCUCCCCAGGAGUGCUACCGCGGUCAUUUCUGCCCAGCUGUAAAAUAACACCCAAUCAGCGAGCCGCCAGCUGCAAACUGUUCCGACCUACUCCUCCCUCCCCGGCUUAAUUCCCACCUAUACCAAAGUGGCCCCACGCGGGCAGAAGCGAAAGACGGAAAUGAGGGGAGGCCAACUACUCGAGAUCUGCGCCCGAAGCAGAUUUUCCACGCGCUCAGAGUAGGGUCGGGGAAAGGCCCACUUGGGGCUUCUGAGAGAGAGGGAAGGGCAGGGAAAGGGCUGCCCCCCAGCAAGACACAGUUGGGUGAACAACUGAGUCUUUGCCUCGUUGACAAAGGAGAAUGAGGGACUCGCGCCAGGCUGGCUUGAACUGACUGGAGAAAAGCGACUUCUGUAAUUCAGGGCCCUCCUCGUGCGAAGGAAACUUUGGCAAAGCAGAAAGACAGGCAUGCAGUUUCCAGGCGGAAAAACGUGAACCAUGGGACAUGAUGGGCUCCAGGGCCGUGGAUGCAGUUGCCCGAGGCCCCAGGGCCGCCCCCGGAAGGCCGGGACUGCCAGGGACUCGGCGUGGGGGUGCUGACUGCCGCUCCAGGCCUCGGGGUUCAAGCACUCCAGCAGCAUCCGCUCACCACGCUCCCCGCCCACUUCCAUGAUCACGAGGGGGCAAGGCUAGCCAAUCCGGGGUGGCCACUGCCCGGCCCUGCGAGGACUCGAGGCGCACUGGGAAACUGCGCGGUGCCUAGAGGUACAAAGAACAGGUCCUGGGAGGGUAGUAGGAGGGGACCUUAGCACAGCCUAUGUCAGUUUGUCAACAAGGAUUUGCUGAGAAGUCGCACUGUGCUCAGCAUAGCGGCACUGCCUACCUAAUGGGCUUUGGGGCAUAGACAGUGAAUAACCUGGCAGUGAUAAUAGUGUGCUGAAAGAAAGGCCAGCCCCAACAGCCACUACAGGAACCUCAGAAAGGAGGGGGCGUCCCUGUUAGUGGCUGAUACUGGAUUUCUCUCAUUGUGUUCGUGGCUGGCGCCAAACCAGAGAUCAUAAUGUAUAACAAAUAAAUGUGAAGUUUCUUACAUCCAAGUGGCCAGGGAAAACCUAUACUAAUUACAUGGUACAAACCCGCUGUGAUCAGGUGCUAAAUUGGGUGGCAGUCAGAGUACAGCUGUAGAGAUAUCUCUGAGGGCCAGAGUGAUCAGGAAAAGCUUUGUGGAAGAGGAAGAACUGGAGUUAGGUGCUGAAUGACGGGCAGGAUAUGGACAAGCAGAGGAAAGUGGGAAGGCGUUCCAGGAGGGAAGGGGCAGCAUAGCCAAAGCCCGGGGGAUGAGCAUGGUGGGUUUAUGGGGUUUUAGAGGGAUUAGCCUGUUUGGAGUGUAGCAGGUGCUCUGAAGAGCAUGGGACAGAAGAGAGCACAGGCAGCUGGAGGGUAGAGAUGGGGG
rnacentral:lncRNA from 1 species